UACGAGUGCUCCAAGCGUUAUCCGGAAUCAUUGGGCGUAAAGGGUGUGUAGGCUGUUAUGUUAGUCUUUUGUUAAAUUCUUCGGCUUAACCGGGGGCAUGCAAAGGAAACGGCAUAACUAGAGGAUGCGAGAGGUAAAUGGAACUCAUGGAGUAGGGGUGAAAUCCGUUGAUAUCAUGGGGAACACCAAAAGCGAAGGCAAUUUACUGGCGCACUCCUGACGCUGAGACACGAAAGCGUAGGUAGCGAAUGGG
rnacentral:rRNA from 1 species